ACGCGUGAGAAUCUGCCCUCAGGAGGGGGAUAACGGCUGGAAACGGCCGCUAAUACCCCAUAUGCCGAGAGGUGAAACGAAUUUCGCCUGAGGAUGAGCUCGCGUCUGAUUAGCUAGUUGGUGGGGUAAGAGCCUACCAAGGCUUCGAUCAGUAGCUGGUCUGAGAGGAUGAUCAGCCACACUGGGACUGAGACACGGCCCAGACUCCUACGGGAGGCAGCAGUGGGGAAUUUUCCGCAAUGGGCGAAAGCCUGACGGAGCAACGCCGCGUGAGGGAUGAAGGCCUCUGGGCUGUAAACCUCUUUUAUCAAGGAAGAAGAUCUGACGGUACUUGAUGAAUAAGCCACGGCUAAUUCCGUGCCAGCAGCCGCGGUAAUACGGGAGUGGCAAGCGUUAUCCGGAAUUAUUGGGCGUAAAGCGUCCGCAGGCGGCCUUUUAAGUCUGUUGUCAAAGCGUGGAGCUUAACUCCAUUUCGGCAAUGGAAACUGGGAGGCUUGAGUGUGGUAGGGGCAGAGGGAAUUCCCGGUGUAGCGGUGAAAUGCGUAGAUAUCGGGAAGAACACCAGUGGCGAAGGCGCUCUGCUGGGCCAUAACUGACGCUCAUGGACGAAAGCCAGGGGAGCGAAAGGGAUUAGAUACCCCUGUAGUCCUGGCCGUAAACGAUGAACACUAGGUGUCGGGGGAAUCGACCCCCUCGGUGUCGUAGCCAACGCGUUAAGUGUUCCGCCUGGGGAGUACGCACGCAAGUGUGAAACUCAAAGGAAUUGACGGGGGCCCGCACAAGCGGUGGAGUAUGUGGUUUAAUUCGAUGCAACGCGAAGAACCUUACCAGGGUUUGACAUCCUGCGAAUCCCUUGGAAACGAGGGAGUGCCUUCGGGAGCGCAGUGACAGGUGGUGCAUGGCUGUCGUCAGCUCGUGUCGUGAGAUGUUGGGUUAAGUCCCGCAACGAGCGCAACCCACGUCUUUAGUUGCCAGCAUUGAGUUGGGCACUCUAGAGAGACCGCCGGUGAUAAACCGGAGGAAGGUGUGGAUGACGUCAAGUCAUCAUGCCCCUUACAUCCUGGGCUACACACGUACUACAAUGCUACGGACAAAGGGCAGCAAACUCGCGAGAGCUAGCAAAUCCCAUAAACCGUGGCUCAGUUCAGAUCGUAGGCUGCAACUCGCCUACGUGAAGGAGGAGUCGCUAGUAAUCGCAGGUCAGCAUACUGCGGUGAAUACGUUCCCGGGCCUUGUACACACCGCCCGUCACACCAUGGAAGUUGGCCACGCCCGAAGUCGUUACUCCAACCCGCAAGGAGGAGGAUGCCGAAGGUGGGGCUGAUGACUGGGGUGAAGUCGUAACAAGGUAGCCGUACCGGAAGGUGC
rnacentral:rRNA from 1 species